rnacentral:rRNA from 1 species
AUGAACGCUGGCGGCGUGCCUAAUACAUGCAAGUCGAGCGAACGGACGAGAAGCUUGCUUCUCUGAUGUUAGCGGCGGACGGGUGAGUAACACGUGGAUAACCUACCUAUAAGACUGGGAUAACUUCGGGAAACCGGAGCUAAUACCGGAUGAUAUUUUGAACCGCAUGGUUCAAAAGUGAAAGACGGUCUUGCUGUCACUUAUAGAUGGAUCCGCGCUGCAUUAGCUAGUUGGUAAGGUAACGGCUUACCAAGGCAACGAUGCAUAGCCGACCUGAGAGGGUGGUCGGCCACACUGUAGCUUAGACACGGUCCAGACUCCUCCGGGAGGCAGCAGUAGGGAAGCUUCCGCAAUGGGCGAAAGCCUGACGGAGCAACGCCGCGUGAGUGAUGAAGGUCUUCGGAUCGUAAAACUCUGUUAUUAGGGAAGAACAUAUGUGUAAGUAACUGUGCACAUCUUGACGGUACCUAAUCAGAAAGCCACGGCUAACUACGUG